GCUCACAAACGUCUCAGGCAGCGUUUACACUGUACCGUUUUCGUAGCGUUCUCGUAUUGUUCUUAAUCCUCAAGGGGACGCAAGACAAUAGUCUAGUUCUCUCGAACAAUACGAGAACGCUACGAAAACGGUACAGUGUAAACGCUGCCUCAGCGUUUGAAAAGC
rnacentral:miRNA from 1 species